rnacentral:rRNA from 1 species
UACGUAGGGACCGAGCGUUGUCCGGAAUCAUUGGGCGUAAAGAGCGUGUAGGCGGCCACUUAAGUCCUGCGUGAAAUCUUGCGGCUCAACCGCAAGCGGUCGUGGGAAACUGGGUGGCUAGAGUGCGGGAGAGGAGAGUGGAAUUCCUGGUGUAGCGGUGGAAUGCGCAGAUAUCAGGAGGAACACCAAUGGCGAAGGCAGCACUCUGGGACGUGACUGACGCUGAGACGCGAAAGCGUGGGGAGCAAACAGG